rnacentral:rRNA from 1 species
AGAGUUUGAUCCUGGCUCAGAAUGGACGCUGGCGGCGUGCCUAACACAUGCAAGUCGGAUGUGCCGCAAGGUGCAUGGCAGACGGGUGAGUAACGCGUGGGGAAUCUACCUCUUUGUGGGGAAUAACGCUCCGAAAGGAGUGGUAAUACCGCAUGAGAUCCAUGGCUGGGAUGCUGUGGAUGAAACCUGGGGACCGCAAGGCCUGGGGCAAGGAGAGGAUCCUGCGUCUGAUUAGCUAGUUGGUGAGGUAACGGCCCACCAAGGCAACGAUCAGUAGCCGGCCUGAGAGGGUGAUCGGCCACACUGGAACUGAGACACGGUCCAGACUCCUACGGGAGGCAGCAGUGGGGAAUUUUGCGCAAUGGGCGAAAGCCUGACGCAGCAACGCCGCGUGGGUGAUGAAGG